UGGUACAGGCAUUCCGAGCAUGGAGCUUACAGGGGGAUGGAAUUAACUGGAAAGUUUAACAAUGGAGGAGGAACCUGAACAGGAGUCUUGAAAGAUCUGCAGACUCUCUCCACCCUCCAAGCUCAUUUUCUAAUCAUUAUUCACAGUAAUGAGUGAGGUGCCUUUGGAGAGCAGAAAGGAAUUCUGCCUGCCUGAUUGUUCAAAGGCAGCCUUACCCGUGCAGCCCCUGUUCCAGACCCAUCAGAAUGACAGCGCACACAAUACUCCCCGUUGCUGAGAUACAGGCACUUUUAUUCCCUUCUCCAAAUAUGGAUCAAGGUCCUGCCAAAAGGGUGGGGAAUCAUGUCAUCUAGAGCUCAAGCAGGAAGCUAUAAUAUCCUUAGUGGGAAGUUUCUGCUACAGUUUGUUCAAUUAUAAUCAGUUAAUAAUAAAAAAGGAUUUUAAUUAAUAGAUUUAUAGGAAGUAGUAGAUGGAAAAUUAUGCAUCAGUGCUGAAAAACUUGCAAGAAUCGACUCUUCUGACAACUAAAACAAUGUCUAAAUGGAUCCACAGACCAGAGAAGAGGGAACCCAGGCUUACAAUUUUCUCUACUCUCCUCGAUGCCAAUUUCAAGGGUGUAUAGGCACCAUGUCAUCUCCUCUAAGGGAUCACUGUCACAGUUCAAUGGCAGUGUCCUCUGUCAAGUUGAUUCACCCUGGGCAAUUCUCCUUCGUCCAGAAAAAUCAAUUUGAAGUCAUUCAUACCACUACCUGACUUUAAUCCAGGAAGUGAAUCUCUCAGGAUAAUCGUCAAAGAUGCUCGCUAUCACUAUGUUGAAAGGAUCGGCACAGGAGUUGAAUGACAAGUAGUGAAGACCAUUUUGUGGAAUCUUUUCCAGAAGCCCUUCUUUUUAACCUACUGAUUUCUCUUGGAAGGUGUUAUGAAGCUGACACAAUCUUCCCUGUUCUUUUCUUAUCCCCUGAAUUGGACUACAGCAGCCUCCAUCCUUACUGACUUUGUGGUUAUGCGUGUCUAUUCAGAGUUGACACCUGCCUGUCAAGCCAGUGGUGAGCUCCUGGGAGGCAUAUACAGGGCUUGGGAAUAAAUUUGUUCUGAAGAAAAUCAUGUUCUUUAUUAACGUCAGUCAGUGGUAACAUCUGAGUGCCACCUCCACUCUGACUCCACAGAGAUCCUUGGGGACAUGUUCUUUAAAAGGCUGGCUGUGGCAGACAUUUUAUUCACCAAGAAAGUAGUAACGAAGGGAGAAAAAGGAGAAAGGAAGAGAGGCAUCAAAGAUGGAGGAGAAAGGGAAGAAUCCUGAUAGUCAUGGUAUGUUUUGGAACUAUUUGGAUUGUGUGUCUGUAUCUAAAGGGAAAAAAUUACAAUGCAGAACUGCACAUGGGAAGCAGACAGGAUUCUUAUAACCUUGAACUAUAAGUCACUUGUGAAGUAAUUUCACAACAUGGUAAUGGAUGAGCUGGAAAAGCAAAGUACAGUGAUGAAACCCAGAAUAUCUUCUCAGGAAGGAGUUAGUCUCCUUGUGUCAGUUUUAUCUGAACUGUAGCCAUCUCAAAGUCAAAACAACUAUGAAAUUCACUCCAACUCCUUACAGUACUUAAUAAAAAAUUGAAGCUGUUUUUAAAAAUGUGGAAC